rnacentral:rRNA from 1 species
GACAACAGUUGGAAACGACUGCUAAUACCGCAUAAGCCCACGGCUCGGCAUCGAGCAGAGGGAAAAGGAGCAAUCCGCUUUGAGAUGGCCUCGCGUCCGAUUAGCUAGUUGGUGAGGUAACGGCCCACCAAGGCAACGAUCGGUAGCCGGACUGAGAGGUUGAACGGCCACAUUGGGACUGAGACACGGCCCAGACUCCUACGGGAGGCAGCAGUGGGGAAUAUUGCACAAUGGGGGAAACCCUGAUGCAGCGACGCCGCGUGGAGGAAGAAGGUCUUCGGAUUGUAAACUCCUGUUGUUGGGGAAGAUAAUGACGGUACCCAACAAGGAAGUGACGGCUAACUACGUGCCAGCAGCCGCGGUAAAACGUAGGUCACAAGCGUUGUCCGGAAUUACUGGGUGUAAAGGGAGCGCAGGCGGGAAGACAAGUUGGAAGUGAAAUCUAUGGGCUCAACCCAUAAACUGCUUUCAAAACUGUUUUUCUUGAGUAGUGCAGAGGUAGGCGGAAUUCCCGGUGUAGCGGUGGAAUGCGUAGAUAUCGGGAGGAACACCAGUGGCGAAGGCGGCCUACUGGGCACCAACUGACGCUGAGGCUCGAAAGUGUGGGUAGCAAACAGGAUUAGAUACCCUGGUAGUCCACACCGUAAAC